CAACCCUCAAGCUCUGCUUGGUAUUGAGUGUCACCUAGCAUGGUGUACCUAAAAUUCAGUGGCAGUGCCAUCAGCCUCCAGCGUAGUAAUCUUUCUCGCUGAGGAGGUUUGGGUAAGGUACUUGCCAGCAAGCCCUAAUUUAUCAAUGG
rnacentral:misc_RNA from 1 species